AAUGAAAAAAGACAACACAGUAAUCAGAUUGGAAUCUUCUGUAGUAUUGAGAGUGGAUUUUUUUUAACAAUGGACCAGACCUCAUGACAAAUGUACAGCUGAUGGUAAUAACAAAGGUUCUCAUUGUGCUGCUAUUUUAUCCAACAGUAUUUGACUGUUAUGAUAAGUUUUGAAUAUUUUUCACCAUACUUGAAUUACAUCAUCCAAUUUGACACACACCUGUAGAUUGUUCUUGCUUCUUUCACAUUAUUUGACAAAGUAAACAAAAACAGGAAAUUGACUGAAAUUUUCAUUUUCAUCAAUCUGGAGAACUUAAAUAUGUUUUUCACCAUGUAUCAAUAUUAAUCUUAGCUGAAUUGUUGGUCAAAAGAAGAUCUAUAAGCCUAUUUUUGACAAAUAGGUGAACACAAUCUUUAUAUGACAUGCAAUAUUGUAUGUUGAAAAUAUAUUUAUCAUUGUUAGGCAUUUAUUUCAUUCAUUCUUCCAACCAGAUAGUGUCAAACAUAAAUUUAUAUGCUUGUUUUGUACAAUAAACUGGAUGUUAAUCAAUGAAAUCACUGAAUAGUAAAAAAAAUGUGUUCCCUGAGUGACAAACAAUCUUGCCUAUGUAAGAAAAGUCAUUUUCAGGAGCAUAUAUGGUAAAACAAACUAUUCCGCAAUCCUAUUUUGUCUUUUUUAUUUGCUAAAGAACACAUAUUUUCUUUAAUCAAAUAAAAAUGCAUAUCAUCUUUAAAUAUUAGUUCAUUUCUAUACUGUUUCAUGAGUUUUGAAGCAAAUAUCCAUUUUCAUUGAGACAAAAAAUCUGAAGUACUGCUGUUUUUCUUCAAAAUCUUUGAUUAAAUGUAUGAAAUAAAGUAGUCAGAAUCAUAUAUUUCUUUCAGACCUUGUUCCAAGUCAGAUUCACAUAGCUGAGCAUUAAAGUGUUGCCUUGUUUUCAUUCAAGAGGUCACAGUUGCUCCAUUGAUGUGCAUAGCUUAUUGUCACAUAUCAGUUAUGGUUGAAAAGGACAGUAAAAAUUGUGGGAAAAGUAUUGGUGAUUAAGAAAUAAAAAUUCACACGCAAAAAAUAUCCAGAUAUUGUCAGAAAGCAUAAGAUGUUGGGAUGAAGUGUAACUUUAAGAGAAUGAAAUAAAAUUCAUGUCUUCAA